rnacentral:tRNA from 2 species
GCCGGCGUGGCGGAAUUGGCAGACGCGCCAGACUCAAAAUCUGGUUCUAGCAAUAGAGUAUCGGUUCGACCCCGAUCGCCGGUA